UUUAUAAAAAUCAUCUUUCUUUUAUAGGUGUAUGCAUGUCUGUGUGCCCUGUGCUUUCCCAAUGCCAGCAGAAGCCAAAAGAGAGCACUUGAUCGUCUGGAACUGGGGUUACAGAUGGUUGGAAGCUUAUAUGGGGUUUAGGAAUUGAACUUGGGUCCUCUGGAAGAGCAGCCAGUGCUCUUAACUGUUGAGACAUGCCUCCAGUUACACACACACACACACACACACACACACACACACACACACACACUUUUAUUUUUAAAUGAGACAAGAUGGAAUGUAUACUAUGCUGGCCUUGAACUUGUUCUGUAGCCAAGAAUGACUUUGAAGUUUUGAACCUCUUACCUCUACCUAGUUGCUCCCAUGCCUGUUUUGUGUAGUGCUGAGGAUCACACUUAGAGCUUUAUGCAUGUUAGGCAAGCAUGCUACCUUUGUUACAUCACCCACCCUUUGGCCCACUCUUGAUGGCAUGUUGCUUUCCAGCAGAGAUCAUAGUUGAGAAAGUUUCCUCUACACCAGGGAAACUUUUAAACAAAACAAGAGCUUGCCAUUCUUAUUCCAAGACUGUCCCCUACUUUAACAUUCUCCGGAGUAGAAAAAUGGCCACACACUGUGAAAAGGAGAAGAUUCUUUAUCGUCUGGAUUUUGUCAGGGGAAAAGAAUCACCUAAGAUGUAAUUGCCUGCUCUAUCACACACAUCAAGCCGGCUGCGAGGCUGCGUCCGAUCACUGGAUUAGCGGCUCAUUGCUCCCCCCCGCACCGGACAGCUCGCUCAAGUGUUGUCUUCUGUUGGAGAAUGGGCUUCCGAUUUAAAUGCCUCUGCAGUUUUGUUUACAUUUCUCAGAGAUUCCACUCAGAUCCGCAGAGGACCGGGAGAAAGGCAAUAACAGCCUCGGUCUCAUAUCAGCCCAACGUUCUGUCUCUUAUCUCCCAAUAGCACAAAAGGUGACCCCAGUGGAAAUGCAAAGUAGAACCUUGAGUCAUUACGGAGGCACUGGUGAUAAACACUCCCCCAUCUUAAUUCAGGAGCAUCCCUACCGCCAGGCUGGGAGAAUGCAAAAGACUUCUGUUACCCAGAGCAACGUUUGCUCUGACCCGUGACCAUAAAAACAUCCAUGAUUCAUCCCACUGACAGCACGUGACCCUGUCAGCUCCUCCGGAGAGAACGGGAGGUCCACUUCAUGCCACUCGGUUUUCCCAGACAGUUCCUCUAGAUCUUCAACCUCUGAAUGCCUUUUUCAAAAUAUGUGGGGGGAGGGGUGAAGAGACACGUGAAUUGCUGGUCACAUCAUUGAGUUCCAUCUUCAGUGAGAGACCUUUUCCGAUUUGUCCUUCAUACCUGUCCUUCAUAAAUACAGCCUCAUUUAUUCCAA